UACGGGGGGGGCAAGCGUUGUUCGGAAUUACUGGGCGUAAAGGGCUCGUAGGUGGCCAACUAAGUCAGACGUGAAAUCCCUCGGCUUAACCGGGGAACUGCGUCCGAUACUGGCAGGCUUGAAUCCGGGAGAGGGAUGUGGAAUUCCAGGUGUAGCGGUGAAAUGCGUAGAUAUCUGGAGGAACACCGGUGGCGAAGGCGGCAUCCUGGACCGGUAUUGACGCUGAGACGCGAAAGCGUGGGGAGCAAACAGG
rnacentral:rRNA from 1 species